rnacentral:lncRNA from 1 species
GAUUGCCCGUUGUCACCGGUUGCAAUCUCUGACAGUGAUAAAGUUGUUCGCUUUAGGUUCUCUAAGGUGGCGUUUGGCGAUGAUGCUGAAAGCUCGAGUGGUCUGCGGGUCUUCUUGGUAUUGUCGGUGGCUCCAAACGGUGUUGCGCACAUCCCAGUACCGUGGCGUCCCCUUGGUUGCUCUCGGUAGUGUUAGCUUCACUAAUACUUUUGCAGGUCUCCGAGCAGUUCUGUUUCAUGUGCAGCAGCCUUCUCAUUCCCGACUUUUGCGUACCGUUCUUGGUGUGGAGACUUUGUUUCUCUAUGCCAUCGAUCGGUUGGGCGCUUUUGGAGAUUACAGCGGGACAUGGAUCAAUUUUCAAUGGGUAUGUGAUCUAUCUCCCUUCUUCGAUAGCGUCUGUGCGUAAUGUGGUGAAGGUUAUAAGUUUCGAGGAGAUCAUCGAGAUCUAGCUACUCCGGAGACGACACGGGAACUCCCGGCAUCCGAGGAAACGAGGAGAACCUCACUUUUCCGUGGUUAUCGUUGAUGGUUGAGAACAGAAAUCGAUUUCUAAUGUUUACUUAAAAACAGAUUAGCGGAAUGUGCCGGGUUUAGUGGGUGGGCGAAGCUAGUUGUUGUAAUACGUAGACUUGGAAGCUUUUGUUUGAAUCGAGCUUGUAACCGAAACCCGUCCGGUUUAUUUAUAAUAUAUAUUAAAAAAAAAAAAAAAAAACUAUUUAAUAUUGAGAUAUAUUAUACAAGAUUCUCA